ensembl:lncRNA
CUCUGUAUGUACGUAGCGUGGUUCAAUGUGCAUGCGAGGGGAUAUUGAUAUUACUGGAAGAUUUUGGUUGGGUUAAAACGAUGUUUGUACAAGGAAGCAGAAGCACAAAGAAGUUGAGGAAGUAAGGGUUGCAAAGAUUUACAGACCUAAAGACGGGGCCACAACCCAGAAAAGGCACUCGACACACGAAGGCCUGCAGGCCAAGCAGCUCUCAUCAUGCUGUCAUCAUUCACUGCAAGUGUCACUGCUAUUGUCUGGAUGCUACUGCAGCACCGCCUGUCCCAAACUAAUCCUGCACUGGCUUGGCCUUGGGGCCUUGGAACAACACGGCUCAGUCUACAGAUAAGCAGCAUGAACAUUAGGCGUGUAGAGACAUGCCACUGCAGGGAUAAAACAGCACCUUAUUUGCCUUGAAUAUCAAAGUCAACGUCACUCAUGUGACACAGAGGCUACUCAGCUGCAACUGUCAGAAGAGAGUGCCGGCGUUUGAAGGGAAUCCAGGGUCAGCCAUUAGGUGCGCUGGGACUCCAGCAUGUGGUAGGAUAGCUUCCCCUCAGACGAGGAGUCUGCGUCUGAGGCGUGGAGCUGCAGGACUUGCCGGGCCUUGGCAGCAUUCUCCGGGAUGGUGGCGGAGUAGACCGGCUGGGACAGCUCGGGGGGGUUAUCGUUGACGUCAAGGACCUCCAGGAAGACAUGGGUCCACGACGCCAAUGGCUCCGUGCCCAGGUCCGUCACAUAGGCCGAGAGCCAGUAGUUGGGGACGGCCUCGCGAUCCAGCGCUACUGUCGUACGGAUCACACCUGAUGGACACAAGGGCAGGGAUAUUAGACCAUUACUGAAAAUAAGAUGUGGUUAUGUAGGCUGUUUAUGUGCAGAAACAUUCAUUGGGUGUAAUACCAGCAAUUGGGCGAUUUCAUAUUUUAUGUAAUUCGUUUUUAUCUUCCUUUUGUUGUUAUUUGUAACUUGUUGAGGAUACCUGGAAUUCAACCCUGCCAUUAAUGACUUGUAUUUGUAUUUCUAAUGUGCGUAAAUCAACUUUACACUCAAAACUUGAAGGUCGUCCAAAACACUUGGAGCCUUUUAUAGCUACUCUAUUUCUGAUAUGCAUAGAUUGUGCUCAGCCCAGCUUGUAAAUGUAAUAACUGACUAGAGUUAAAGGCAAACGAUUGUUUUGGGUGAUUCGGAAACAACCAGGGAAACACGACAUGAUUCAACUGAUGUUCAGAGCAGUGAGGGGAAGAGAUGAGGAGAGACCACAGUGAUGUUUAGAAACAGAGACUUGACCCAGGGAAACCUUCAAUGAUUUAUGUGAAUACCAUUGGGGGGGUAGUUAAAUCCAGAGAUGGUUUCCGUAGAACUAUCCUAAAAGCAUUAAAACGUCCAAAAACCCAAAUGAGGAUCAAAGGUCAAGUGGGGAGGGGUCAAGAGGUCUCAAUAAAUCUAUCCUUAUCUCUAUGCUAUAUACAUCUGUUUUUUAAAACCUGUAGAUUCAUAUGUUCUGUUCACAUAUUAUUAUGUGAUGUUAUACUAAAAUGGUAAGAUAAUGUAAUGUAAUGGUAU